GUCUACUUCUGCUGCUCGAUUUUCGUUUUUCUUUUUUCCUUUCAGGAAUUUUGUUCUUGAAUGAGCAAUUGUUUGGAAAACUGCGAAAUUUACGUGGAGUUAAGAACUAAGUAGGAGAGGACUAUUGAUCUAUUUAUUAAAUUUGAGCUGCAGAAAUUAAAGAAAGCAAAAGCAGGUUUGAGGAGAAUGUUGCCACAGAAGAUGAAGAAGGCUGUCACGGACAACCCUAAGAAGCUUGCUAAUUUAAUUGAUCUCGUAAAUCUUCCUUCAACACUUCGGGAGUUUGUGGGUCAGUCUCAAAUUUCUCGUUUGGGCUGUUUCAUACGUGUCUGGUCCUACAUCAAGACCAACAAUCUCCAGGAUCCUAAUAACAAGAAUGUAGUCAACUGUGAUGAAAAGUUGAAGAGUAUUUUGUUGGGCAAGCCUCAGAUUGAUCUAGCUGAACUUCCGGCACUGAUCAAACUGCAUUUCCCCAAAGAGCCAAAGUAAGUUGCAAUUUGAGAUCAAGACAUCGAGCUAAUGCACAAAGCAUCUCACACUUGUGAGUCUGG
rnacentral:misc_RNA from 1 species